AGCGAACGCUGGCGGCAGGCUUAACACAUGCAAGUCGAGCGGGCACUUUCGGGUGUCAGCGGCGGACGGGUGAGUAACGCGUGGGAACGUGCCCUCUGGUUCGGAAUAACUCAGGGAGACUUGAGCUAAUACCGGAUACGCCCUUUUGGGGAAAGGCUUGCUGCCGGAGGAUCGGCCCGCGUCUGAUUAGCUAGUUGGUGAGGUAACGGCUCACCAAGGCGACGAUCAGUAGCUGGUCUGAGAGGAUGAUCAGCCACACUGGGACUGAGACGCGGCCCAGACUCCUACGGGAGGCAGCAGUGGGGAAUAUUGGACAAUGGGCGCAAGCCUGAUCCAGCCAUGCCGCGUGAGUGAUGAAGGCCUUAGGGUUGUAAAGCUCUUUUAUCCGGGACGAUAAUGACGGUACCGGAGGAAUAAGCCCCGGCUAACUUCGUG
rnacentral:rRNA from 1 species